GGUUUAGCUCAGCUGGGAGAGCACCUGCCUUACAAGCAGGAGAUCGCGGGUUCAAAUCCCGUCGGAACCGCCA
rnacentral:tRNA from 1 species